rnacentral:rRNA from 1 species
UACACGACUCUCGGGAAUGGAUAUCUCGGCUCUCGCAUUGAUGAAGAACGUAGCAAAAUGCGAUUCUUGGUGUGAAUUGCAGAAUCCCAUGAACCAUCGAGUCUUUGAACGCAAGUUGUGCCCGAAGCCAUUAGACCUAGGCAUCACAC